rnacentral:rRNA from 1 species
AUUGAACGCUGGCGGCAGGCCUAACACAUGCAAGUCGAGCGGAUGAAGAGAGCUUGCUCUCUGAUUCAGCGGCGGACGGGUGAGUAAUGCCUAGGAAUCUGCCUGGUAGUGGGGGACAACAGUUGGAAACGACUGCUAAUACCGCAUACGUCCUACGGGAGAAAGCAGGGGACCUUCGGGCCUUGCGCUAUCAGAUGAGCCUAGGUCGGAUUAGCUAGUUGGUGAGGUAAUGGCUCACCUAGGCGACGAUCCGUAACUGGUCUGAGAGGAUGAUCAGUCACACUGGAACUGAGACACGGUCCAGACUCCUACGGGAGGCAGCAGUGGGGAAUAUUGGACAAUGGGCGAAAGCCUGAUCCAGCCAUGCCGCGUGUGUGAAGAAGGUCUUCGGAUUGUAAAGCACUUUAAGUUGGGAGGAAGGGCAGUAAGUUAAUACCUUGCUGUUUUGACGUUACCAACAGAAUAAGCACCGGCUAACUUCGUGCCAGCCGCCGCAGUAAGAC